rnacentral:snRNA from 1 species
AUCACUUCUCGGCCUUUUGGCUAAGAUCAAGUGUAGAGACUCAUAUAUAAUUUCACAAGGUUUCUUAGGGGAAAAAAUGGUAAUCCCUCAUCUCUUUCCUCUCCUCUAUUUUUCAGGUUGUCAUUUUGUUCUACUAUCUGGGAGAUUUCUU